GUUUGAUCCUGGCUCAGAGCGAACGCUGGCGGCAGGCCUAACACAUGCAAGUCGAACGGACCCUUCGGGGUUAGUGGCGGACGGGUGAGUAACACGUGGGAACGUGCCUUUAGGUUCGGAAUAGCUCCUGGAAACGGGUGGUAAUGCCGAAUGUGCCCUUCGGGGGAAAGAUUUAUCGCCUUUAGAGCGGCCCGCGUCUGAUUAGCUAGUUGGUGAGGUAAAGGCUCACCAAGGCUACAAUCAGUAGCUGGUCUGAGAGGAUGACCAGCCACAUUGGGACUGAGACACGGCCCAAACUCCUACGGGAGGCAGCAGUGGGGAAUCUUGCGCAAUGGGCGAAAGCCUGACGCAGCCAUGCCGCGUGAAUGAUGAAGGUCUUAGGAUUGUAAAAUUCUUUCACCGGGGACGAUAAUGACGGUACCCGGAGAAGAAGCCCCGGCUAACUUCGUGCCAGCAGCCGCGGUAAUACGAAGGGGGCUAGCGUUGCUCGGAAUUACUGGGCGUAAAGGGAGCGUAGGCGGACAUUUAAGUCAGGGGUGAAAUCCCAGAGCUCAACUCUGGAACUGCCUUUGAUACUGGGUGUCUUGAGUGUGAUAGAGGUAUGUGGAACUCCGAGUGUAGAGGUGAAAUUCGUAGAUAUUCGGAAGAACACCAGUGGCGAAGGCGACAUACUGGAUCAUUACUGACGCUGAGGCUCGAAAGCGUGGGGAGCAAACAGGAUUAGAUACCCUGGUAGUCCACGCCGUAAACAANAAUUGCUAGUUGUUGGGAUGUUUACAUCUCGGUGGCGCAGAAACGCAUUAAGCAAUCCCCUGGGGAGUACGGUCGCAGAUUAAAACUCAAAGGAAUGACG
rnacentral:rRNA from 1 species